rnacentral:rRNA from 1 species
AGGACGAACGCUGGCGGCGUGCUUAACACAUGCAAGUCGAACGGAAAGGCCCGCUUGCGGGUACUCGAGUGGCGAACGGGUGAGUAACACGUGGGCAACCUGCCCUCAGCUCUGGGAUAACUCCGGGAAACCGGUGCUAAUACUGGAUAUCGACUUCUGCUCGCAUGGGUGGUUGUUGAAAGUUUUCGGCUGGGGAUGGGCCCGCGGCCUAUCAGCUUGUUGGUGGGGUAAUGGCCUACCAAGGCGACGACGGGUAGCCGGCCUGAGAGGGCGACCGGCCAACGACUGGGACUGAGACACGGCCCAGACUCCUACGGGAGGCAGCAGUGGGGAAUAUUGCGCAAUGGGCGGAAGCCUGACGCAGCGACGCCGCGUGAGGGAUGACGGCCUUCGGGUUGUAAACCUCUUUCAGCUCUGACGAAGCGAGAGUGACGGUAGGAGCAGAAGAAGCACCGGCCAACUACGUGCCAGCAGCCGCGGU